CCUACGGGCGGCUGCAGUGGGGAAUAUUGGACAAUGGGGGGAACCCUGAUCCAGCCAUGCCGCGUGUGUGAAGAAGGCCCUCGGGUUGUAAAGCACUUUCAGGGAGGAAGAACGCCUGGUGGUUAAUACCCAUCAGGAAAGACAUCACUCACAGAAGAAGCACCGGCUAACUCCGUGCCAGCAGCCGCGGUAAUACGGAGGGUGCGAGCGUUAAUCGGAAUUACUGGGCGUAAAGCGCGCGUAGGUGGCUUGAUAAGCCGGUUGUGAAAGCCCCGGGCUCAACCUGGGAACGGCAUCCGGAACUGUCAAGCUAGAGUGCAGGAGAGGAAGGUAGAAUUCCCGGUGUAGCGGUGAAAUGCGUAGAGAUCGGGAGGAAUACCAGUGGCGAAGGCGGCCUUCUGGACUGACACUGACACUGAGGUGCGAAAGCGUGGGUAGCAAACAGGAUUAGAUACCCGAGUAGUC
rnacentral:rRNA from 1 species